AAUAAAACAGGAACAAAAAAUUAUUGUUUGGCAAUGGCUUUGGUUUGGCAAAUUCAGUGCACGGCUUCACCACCACUCCCUUCUCUUCCCUUCUUCAAACGAAAAUCUUCUUCUUCCCCGUCUCUUCCUCUCCCGCUCACUCGCUCUUUCCGUUUACGCUUCACUCACGUUCCGUCUCCUAGGCCCGUCGCCGCUUCCAUAUCCUCCGUCGAAUCUCCCACAUCCGUCGACGGUCUUGGUAACAAUAAGACGCCUCUUCUCGAAGUCAAAGGCUUAACUGCUGUGAUUGCUGAAACCAAGCAGGAGAUCCUCAAAGGCGUCGACCUCGUCGUUAACCAUGGAGAGAUCCAUGCUAUAAUGGGAAAGAAUGGCUCCGGGAAGAGUACGUUUUCUAAGGUUCUUGUUGGGCAUCCGGAUUAUGAGGUGACCGGAGGCAGUGUUGUGUUUAAGGGAGAGAAUUUGCUUGACAUGGAGCCGGAGGAAAGGUCUCUUGCCGGACUUUUUAUGAGUUUCCAGUCACCGGUUGAGAUCCCAGGUGUGAACAAUAUUGACUUUUUGCACAUGGCAUACAAUGCUCGAAGGAAAAAACUUGGCCAGCCCGAGCUUGGUCCACUUGAGUUCUAUGCUUAUAUAUAUCCUAAACUUGAUCUCGUGAACAUGAAGACUGACUUCCUUAACCGAAAUGUCAAUGAAGGAUUCAGUGGAGGUGAAAGGAAGCGCAAUGAGAUUUUGCAGCUUGCGGUUCUUGGAGCAGACUUUGCUAUACUUGAUGAGAUUGACUCUGGACUAGAUGUUGAUGCCCUUCGAGAUGUAGCAAAAGCAGUAAAUGGCCUUUUGACUCUGAAGAACUCAGUUUUGAUGAUAACUCAUUAUCGACGGCUGUUGGAGUUCAUUAAACCAACAUUCAUCCAUAUUAUGGAGGACGGAAGAAUCAUAAAGACAGGAGACAGCUCCUUAGCCCAAAUUCUUGAGGAGAAAGGCUAUAAUGCAAUUCCUUCUGCAUAGCAUAAAAUUCUGAACUGGUACACACUCUGUUAUUAUUAUCCGUUUGAUUCUCGUCAAACUCCACUGUGAACUACAAUGCGAAUUCAGAAGAUCAGGUUCCAUAUUUAACCUCUUGCUUCGGAGCCUCAACCCUUAGGUAUGAUCAGUGGUGCUGUAUACGUUUGGGUUAUACAUUUAACCUCUUGCUUUGGCAUGAGUUUUAGGGUUUGCUCAGUUGGAGAUUGGGAGAUUAGGGGUUUUCUUUAAAGAAAGAACUUUGUUUACUACAUGAUUUUUGCUGAUGAAAGUCGUAUGGAAUCAUACGUGUGAUCUGAUUUUAUAUUAAACUGAUACUUCGGCUGAGAUUGUUACAGCCCUGUUGAUUUUACAGUUGCACUGCCUGUUUUUAGUUGUCAUAAUCUGGAAAUUGUACUUUGUAACCAAGUUAAUCGA